UACGUAGGGUCCAAGCGUUAUCCGGAAUCACUGGGCGUAAAGCGUGCGUAGGCGGCGUGUUAAGUGUGAUGUUAAAUCGUGUGGCUCAACCAUAUCGAUGUGUCGCAUACUGGCAUGCUAGAGGGAAGCAGAGGCAAGUGGAAUUUGUAGUGUAGCAGUGAAAUGCGUAGAUAUUACAAGGAACACCAAUGGCGAAGGCAGCUUGCUGGGCUUCUUCUGACACUGAGGUACGAAAGCGUGGGGAGCGAACAGG
rnacentral:rRNA from 1 species